GGGGGGGUCUAGAGCCACUCUGAGGGGCGGAGCCUUCGUACGGAGGCCUGAUGCUGACGUCAUCACAUGGUGUUGCUGAUCGAAAGAGUGAGUUCAGGGCGCUCUCCACUGGGUUUCCCAGGGUCCGUGAGGGAGACAGGGGCGUGGCCAGCCAGAGGAGGCGGAGCUACAGGGACCAUCCUCCCAUGUCGGGCAGCCAGAGAACUGCCCAGGACGGUCAGUCUGCGUUCUGCUGCUCUGCUCCUCGUCUGAGCCAUCAGUCAAACCCUGAUCAUCCAACCAAUCGCGACCAACCAGUCAACCAAUCACAACCAGCCAGUCGCCAGCACGCCAGCAAAUCAACCCUAAUAUUACAUGGAAUGAAAACUUGAUUCAGAACACGCACAAAACUAUAGGAACGAGGGUGAAUAAUAUUCUGGCAAUAAAGGGGGGACAUGUUAAAUCAUGCAGUUAAAACGCAACGUCUGCUCCCCUUGUCGCCCUAUAAAAAUGUGUGUGAAAGUCCACCGUAUAUUUCUGGGGACAAGAGGCGUCUGAUAAGGCUCGUUAACCGAGCACCGGAUAUAUGCUGUGAAUAGUGCAGCAGAGUGUGUGUGUGUGUGUGUUUUGGAAGGUUCCUGUUGACACAAAGAACCGUGACAGAUGUGUUCAUUGGCUGAACGGGGGUCGGUUUAGCUCAGGAGGUAGAGCAGGUUGGUAGUUCGAUCCCCGGCUGCUCCUACCUGAGCGUCGAUGCGUCCCUGAGCAAGACACCUCACCCUAACUGCUCCUGACGAGCUGGCUGUCGCCUCGCGUGGUCGACUCCGCCGUCGGUGUGUCAAUGUGUGUGUUAACCGUUGUAAGUCGCUUUGGAUGAAAGCGUCUGCUAAAAGUGUAAAAUGUAAUAUAAAUGAAUCCCCCUGAAAUAUGCAUUAUGUUCUGAGAGCUCUCCUCCUCGUUGUUCUUCCAGGUUACCUGGACGGGAACCCCCCCCAAAACAGACUCUACCAGAGGGGGACCACGGCGGGCUCUGCCAGAGGGUCUCUGUUGGAUUCCGACAGUUCUUUCAUAGAUCCCCUGGGGGAUGCCUACCCCGUCCCCCCCACCCCGGAGCAGAGGGAGACCCCCCAGCUGUCAGCGAGGGAGAGGCGACGACUGACCAGGAAACCGCAAUCCCCCCCGCCCGCCUCCAGGGAUCCGGUUGGCCGGCCAAUCAGCUAUUCCCGCCAAUCCCAGAGCAGUGUUCAUGGGAUGGACCCGGGUGGGAGGAGGGUCCAGAACCAGACGGGGAGACCCACGCACAGUCGCCAUGACAACCAGACUGGCCGAGGUGACCGCCCCUCCCCCUCCCCCUCCUUCUCCUCUGAGGAUGAGGAGGCUGACUACGGGGAGGAGGAAGAGGGCUCCUCCCCCCCCCGCCACCCCACCUCCUCCUGGGACUCUGUGGCCACAGACCUGUGGGCCCAGCCCCAGGUGAAGGACGCGCUGCGGCGAAUCACCAACCACCGCCUGCUCAGGAGGGAGCUGCCUGCUGCACACGGCUCCGCCCACUAAGAGGAAGCCCGCCCACUAAGAGCAAGCCCCGCCCCUACCUCCACAGCCCGCAGAAAACCUUUGAUAACCUAAAGUCUGGCCGGCUCCCGUUUUGUGCUUGUGUCGCUCGGUGAGAUCGACCCAACUCUUUAAUCUUCCCACCGGCGGCCAGAAACCUCCUGGAAGCAGGACCGGGCUGCAUCAUCUGGGCGUCUGACAGGAGGAGCGGGGCUCCGUCCCAGAAGAUGUCUGGCUGCUUCCUGCACCUUUCCUUCCUCCUCCUCUCUCCCAAACCUGAACUACCCCCUGCACAUAUUUGCAAAUAUUUUUAAAUAGAAUGUCGCGUUGGUGUCUCUGGUCUCUCUGGACGGUGGCGGUGGUGUCUCUGGUCUCUCUGGACGGUGGCGGUGGAGUCUCUGGUCUCUCUCUGGACGGUGGCGGUGGUGUUACUGGUCUCUCACUGGAUGGUGGCGGUGGUGUUACUGGUCUCUCUGGACGGUGGCGGUGGAGUCUCUGGUCUCUCUCUGGACGGUGGCGGUG
ensembl:lncRNA